rnacentral:rRNA from 1 species
UACAGAGGAUGCAAGCGUUAUCCGGAAUGAUUGGGCGUAAAGCGUCUGUAGGUGGCUUUUUAAGUCCGCCGUCAAAUCCCAGGGCUCAACUCUGGACAGGCGGUGGAAACUACCAAGCUGGAGUACGGUAGGGGCAGAGGGAAUUUCCGGUGGAGCGGUGAAAUGCGUAGAGAUCGGGAGGAACACCAGCGGCGAAGGCGGCACUCUAGGCUGGAACUGACGCUGAGGAGCGAAAGCGUGGGUAGCAAACAGG